UGAUUGACUGUGACAUAAUGGCGGCCGCUUUGACAUAUGCGGAAAGGAGACAAAUUCACAGUGUCAACUCCAUGUUUACGCUCAAGGCGGCGGGGGCGUUGGGUAAGAGAAGAUGUUUGACGUAGAAGAAGAAGAUGGGCGGAAGUUCUUCGCGUUUCUGGUUGCGCCUCUGGUAUUCGAUAUCGGCAGUACAGUAUUUAGCGGUCAUUUGCAGAGCAGAAUGCUUUCUCUCAGUGGUGUUUUGAGUACCCGAGUUCGUUUUAUUGCGAACUCGUUCAGUACAACACGUACUGUUUGCAUGCGACCUGGAGGCCAAACGAGCGUGUCAUGUUUUGGCCGACUGAUAGGAAAUAAUCUCCAUGCUGUCAGGAGCUCAUCGCUUCAACUGAAAUUCAAGGUGCAGCCUCGGAUUCUAUCUUCUUGUCUUGCUACCAUGGCCCAUUCUGAAAAUGAGAAACUUAUUUACACAGGCAGUCUGGCAAUGGCAGUUCGUGGAGUAAAAAUGUUUUCUUACAGUACAAGUGGAGCCAGUCUCUUUCUCAUGCCACAGAUCUUCUUGAAAACAGGACUAGGACUCCAGAGCCUUCCCCUUCAAAUGGCUUUCUGCAGCAUCAUUGGCUUCUUCACCUUCCUCACCCCUGUGCUCCUCCACUUCAUAACCAAAGGUUAUGUGGUCCGUCUAUACCACAACUCAGAUCAGGACACUUAUACUGCAAUAACCUACAGUGUCUUCCUGACUGAGCAAAGGACAGUCUUUCAUCAGAAGCAGGUAAGUAUACCAGCUGUCAGCAAGAUGUUCACCACCUUCUAUGCCAACAAGACUGGGCUGCUUGUGAACCCUGACAUGUUCGCCCUCCCUCAGGAUUACAACCACCUCAUGGGCUAUGACAAGCCCUUCACCUUCAGAACAGACUACAUGGACAGGCCAUGAUCUAAUGUUGCAUGUGGUGUUUUUGGUCAUUUUCCAAAUGGCAAUACAAUUCACAGUGAAUACAUUUGACACCAACAAUUGUCUUUAUCAUAUAUCUGUCUAUCCAUUUUCUUUGCUGCUUAUCCUCACAAGGGUCGCAGGGAGUGCUGGAUCCUAUCCCAGCUGUCAACGGGCAGGAGGCGUGGUACACCCUGGACUAGUUGCCAGCCAAUCGCAGGGCACAUUGAGACAGACAGCCACACUCACAAUCACCCCUAGGUUAAUGUUGGAUGUUUUUGGAAUGUGGGAGGAAACCAGAGUGCCUGGAGGAAACACACCCAAGCACGGGGAGAACAUGCAAACUCCACAGAGGUGGUUCCGGGAUCGAACCUAGGACCUCAGAACUGUGAGGCUAACGCUUUACCGGCUGACCCACCGUUCCUUAUCUAAAAUGUCUUUAUUGAACUAAGCCAUUAUGCAUGCGUUUAAAAGCAAAAGUUGUAAAAUUUGUGAAAUCUGAUACUUUUGAAAAAUUAUAUGCAAAACUAAAUUUAAAUAUAAAUAUAUUCUAUGUGAACACAGUGAUCCCAUCUUCGCUUUAACCUUAAGAACUCAUCCAUUGAACUCGUAACUCCGUGGAGUUUCUGGUUAUCCUCUUUGAGAAUUUAACUUUAAACAAGAGUUGCUGUUUGGAGAUACAUUGUUAUCCAUCCUCAUCGUUCUUCCUUUUAAGAUUUUGACCCAAGUUUGCUAUACGUUUUAGUUCAGUUUUCUCCCAGUAUAGAUCCAGAUCUGCCUACGUUUCAAUGGUGGCUUUUGCGGUGUGAGAAUGUUUAUUAAUGGCCAGUUGAGUAAAUUGAAUGAACCAUUCAUGUUCUGGGGUGAUCCACAAGCUGAUUACCUAUGCUGAUUGCCACACCUGUGUUGGUUUGCCAUACUUACCUGGGUGAUCACACAGAGGAGGUUAUGUGGAGUAGAACAGAGAAGCAGAUUUGGGCCAGAUGCUUGUGGCCUUCAUUGUCAUUGAAGAGUUUGCACCCUUGGUAGGCGGAGCGAGGUUAGCUCAUUCUCUUUAUUUGUUGCUUUAAUUGUUUAUAUACAAAAAUGAACGUGUAAUGAACUGUUUUUAGAGAAAACUGAACUUUGUACCUAUUAAUAUUGUUGUGCGUUUUUUAGUUUCACGGUGCUUUAAGAUGCAAUAAAGUUUUCACCGGUUGAACUCUAUGCUGUCUCAUUGAUGCCAAGGGCUGCUACAGUGAAACUAGUCCACUGAUUGGAGCCAUCUUCUAUCAAGUACCAUUCCCCAUCUGUGUCUUCCCAAUGCUACACCUGCAGUGAGAAACCUUUGGUAGCUGAGGUGUGUCUGCACAGGUCAGGGAAAAGGCGGCUGUCAACACUUCGUCAACACCACGGGAUCCCGACAUUACUCCAUACGUCUACCUCCGAGUGCUGUCCCGGAAGUGGACUGACCCUCGCUGGAAGGGACCGUUUCGGGUUCUGGCUAGAACCUCACACGCCGUCCAAUUGGAGACCAAGGGUCAUAAGUGGUAUCAUUACUCGCAGUUGAGACCGGCACCUGACUUUGUACCUGACAAUGGUGAGCGUGAAAGUUGAUUGCCCAGACGGGCAGGUCAAGAGAGGAAUGGUGAAGAUGAUCAGAAUUGAGUCUAGAUCAAAGAUGUCAACAAAGUCUGUGUCUGAAAAACAAUUAGGACGCGAAUGUCCGAGUUCUUUUACGAUUACGAUUUUAUUGCUUUGCCUCGCAUCAAUAUGCUUUGUGUGGACCAUGCUGGCGCUCGAAUCUGUUAUACAGGAUGAAAGAAGUGAAGGAGUGACUGUGGACAGCAAUGGAACGGUGUGGUAUGAGGCACGGCAAGGUGGUGGUGGUGAGCUGACACAGACACAACAAACACUGAUGAGUUUAAAAUUUAAUCAACCGACACAGGUGAGCACGUGGGGGAGCCUUUUUAAUUGGACACCACAAUGGAGGGAUCUGGAACAUACGCAAUGGAUACCAAUUGGUACACUGAAUGGCUGAGUAUGUUUGGAAGCUACAAAGGUUUGAUCGGCUCUGUGGUAGUUUCUAUUGCUGUGUUUGUGGCUAUCAUGGUGCUCUGCGGAUGUUGUUGUAUCCCAUGUAUUAGGUCUCUCACAGUCCGGACAAUCGAGCGGACCCUGGGACCGCUCCCACCAGGUGGACAGUACAUGAUGCUUUCACAGAAGGACCCCCGGGAGUUCGGAGUGUGAAUUGUCGGUGGCAUGGCCUCAGUGGGCUGAGGCCAUGAGAGGGAAUAAAAGAAAUGAAAUGUAUAAAAGUUAAUCAACAAGGCGUUGUAUUUGCAAUACUACUUAAUGUGUGAAAGUCUGUGGAUGAAAAGUUGCAGUGUGAGAAUGUGGCAUGAAAGUGAUUACAGCAGAUAGCGUGCUAGAACGGAAUGUUCUCGACGGUUGGUGGUGACCACAAUCAGCAGGUGUGGGGUGACGCGACGCUUGACCUAGAGGGAGACGGGAGCAACAAAACGUCAACAACUGCAGGCGGGAGGAGUGGCCCCACCAUCCUGCGGACCAAGAAAGACCAAUGAGAGAGCGCUAAGGAUAACUGCAGGAGACACAUAACCAAUAGUGAAUUAGUAGAUUGUACUUUUAAAUUGUCCUGGGCAACUCGGAUGUGGAGUACGUCGGCUGGAGGGAACAGAGACGUACAGGGUUGUAUUGAGAGAGACCUGAGACCCAGGUGUUUCUUGAAGG